CUGAAACCAUCAAGUCUGAGUGUGGAGACAGUCUGCCUGCUCUGUCAACAGGAUGAAACAGAGAAAGAGUCUUUCUUAAAUUGAAGAAAGACAUUUCCUUGGAGGAAUCAAAACGACUCUAUUAAAAAUUAUUGGAGAGUGCCUCAAUGCCUUUCUGGUGUGAAGUCCUUUGUGAAUGAGCCACAUUUUUUACUCAUUCAAGUCCCUACAGCAUAAUCACACAGAUUAACUGACUUGGAUCGUUAAUUGUUACACUUGAAGAACUCCACAAACUUGAUCAGAGAGUAUCACCUCCUGGUAAUAAGAAAAUAUGCAGAAAAGAACACAGCAGGCCAGAGAUUGCUAUCCUGAGGAAGGCCUCCUUACAAGGUUGACCCAGCUGGCAUUCCAGAACUUGGAUUUGGGAGUGUUUCCACCAUUUCCUGGUAAGAAUGGUGGCUGUGCAAGAAGAGCAUUUGUUGUAAGAUUUUUCUCCUAGUACCAUCAUUUUUCAUGGCCUUGUGUCACUUGGCACAUAACACGGGAACUAGUGAAUGCUCCAAUGUUUUAACUGUCAGUCACCAUGAACUACUUUAUGAAACGGGCUUAACAGCUCAUAAACUGAAAGCAAUUCUGUUUACUGCCAUCUCUAGGUUCAUAGAUUGUUUGUAGCCUGCUACUGUUCUAGCAACACUUAGGGGCAAAGCACCUAAAGUACUUUAUGUAUUUCUUGAUGUUUCUUAAGAAGAGCCGAUUUUGUGAGCAUCCUUGAAUUUUUUUCAUCUAAUAUAAUAGGAUUAGACCUUGAGGUGACUAUGUCAGAACUACUGACAGCUUUUUACAACAUGCAGUGCAUGACUAUA